rnacentral:rRNA from 1 species
GAUGAACGCUAGCUACAGGCUUAACACAUGCAAGUCGAGGGACCGGCGCACGGGUGAGUAACGCGUAUCCAACCUGCCCAUAAGUAGGGUAUAACCCGCAGAAAUGCGGACUCAUCCCCUAUGCUUAUGGCUGGGGAUGCGUCCGAUUAGCUUGUUGGUGAGGUAACGGCCCACCAAGGCUUCGAUCGGUAGGGGUUCUGAGAGGAAGGCCCCCCACAUAGGAACUGAGACACGGACCUAACUCCGACGGGAGGCAGCAGUGAGGAAUAUUGGGCAAUGGGCGAGAGCCUGAACCAGCCAAGUAGCGUGAAGGAAGACGGCAUAUGGGUGGUAAACGGCGUUUAUGCGGGGAUAGGUACCGCAUGAAUAAGGACCGGCUAAUUCCGUGCCAGCAGCCGGGGUAAUUC